UUCAUCUCAAAUACACCUCCGUUCGCUUUCUCGACCUCGUACAUUUCACUCUUCUGCAGAAGUAUUCAGGUUUUUCCCCAAAUUAUACUACGAUCAGACUUCUUCGCAACGAUCCGAACUCACGCAAUUGCAACCAUGAUUGAAUCUCCGAACCUUAGCCUGUACUUUUUCCCCCUUUCAACUCAGUGUUCCAGGUCCCUGAUCCUGAAAUGUUCUAUACUAAGAAGAUAGCAACUCGGUGGUAUAGGGCACCUAAAGUUUUGUUUCAAAACAGUCAAUAUUCAACUCCAAUUGAUAUUUGGGUCGUGGGCUAUAUAUUUGGUGAGAUGGUACUUGGACAGCCAAUACACAAUGUUUUUUAUUGCAUUGGUGAGCUAGAGCUGAUUUUCAGGUAAUUUUUGACACAAAAUAGUUUAUUUCACUUUUUGGAUUUCAAUCAAACCAACAUGUGCCUUAUCAAGGUGACAUAGUACUGCUACUACAAUAGUUAUGACAUUCUCUAAACUUGCCAAAAGUCAUUUGCAGAAUUCCAUUAGAUUCUUUUCUUCAGGCAUUACAAAGCUAUUCAUCUUUGAAAAAUCUUUGAAAAAGUGUCCCUACACAGUCGAUUCCCUAUUGAUAUUUAUAUCUCCUAAGUCAUGUCAUAUAAAGUUGUCCUUGAAUGAAUCACCAUGUUUAUAGAAAAUAUUACUUGAUUGAAUACCAACACGCUUCUUCUAGAUUUGUAUUCCAGAACAUUACAACAUACUCUAUAGUAUUAUGCAAUAGGAAAUAAGGAUGUUAAAAAUGUCUUCGGUGGAUUUCGUAGUUGUGCUCAAACAUUGAUUAUCGUUUUCCAUCUCAGUAUAUGAAUUCCUCAAUUGAUUCAUCAUCCAUCUUAUAUUCACAACAGUGAGAAACCAACUUGAGAUAUUAACGAAUUCAGACAACAAUCAUUUAUUCUAUUUUCAUUCAGGUACAACUUCAUAGCAAGGUUAGACUUAGUUUCCCCUUUUUAAAUAAGCUAUGCAAAUCAAAACAACAUUUACUAUAUUUCUUUUAUUGACUCUAGUAUUGUUCGUAUGACAUAUAUCUUUCACACAUUUUCAUUAUAUUUUGUAACUAGCCUACAUACACAUAUAUAAUAUUUUAUUUAGUAAGUUAUUUAAUGUUUGAACCAAUGAAACUAAACAUACGGUUCGUCACUAGUUAAAGAAUUUUGUUAUAUUGGCUUGUGGGCAUCCCAUUUUUUUAAUAAUAGCAGGAACUAUGGACGUCGGUUCUCUCUUUCUGGUUACAGUGAACAAAAGCCACACAAGGUGAGGAAGGGAGCUGAAAUUGUUUCAGAGAAGAAUAAAUGACAAGAUAUGAGAGACCUAUUUCUUUGAAAAUCAGAAUUUUGGGGUGAAAUGACCAAAUAGUCCCAAAAAAAAAAGAAACCGCAACAACUACAAGUUAGGGGAAAAGGGCUAUUUAAGGGUGAAAUGAUCAGUUCAGAAUUUUGCAAUAAUUCCCCUGUAGCGAUUGCUAUUUGGCCACAAUUGGUGGCGCUACAACAGCUGUUGAGUACAGAGUUGGAUAUGUAGUUCUUAACAUUUGAUUAUUACCUCAAGUCCUUGUGAAUCUUGCAGGACAUGUGGAUCACACUUAAUUAUUUUAUUAAAAAAAAGCAGAAUGCAUGAUUCUGUUCAUUGAAAUAUUUUAUACACAUAAAUUUUCUCUUCUAUCUAAUAGGCCAAUCUUUGCUUCCUAACAUGUUAACAUCUCAGGUUUCAUGAAUUCUUAAAGCUAGAAAAUGAAAUUGGAAAUAUCACUAGACAGGAUGCUGUCAGCAUGGUAAGCCUGUUUAACAACUAUCGCAUGUCAUGACCAUAUAGUUUAAAGUACACACUUACUUUUCAAGAAUUUAACUUGUACACACAAAUGUUUUGUUUGCUAUGUGGAUUCUUCCAACUUUUAUCUUUGAUUCUACAAUUUCUGUUAUCUUCGCUUUUAAUUUGUCAUUCCCUCUUUUAUGUUUGAUUUCUACAAGGUCAAUAGAAUAUUUACUUAUUUGGUUGUAAUAACUAUUAUGUCAUGAUCCCUCUUUUAAGAAACUAAAUUUAUAUACUGAUAAUUUGGUUGUAAUUAUCACAUUGACGUGUUUUGUGGAGCAUCUAGGUUUCAUAUACAGUGGUGAUGAUGACUAUGACGAUGAUUGGGAAGUUGUGGAGAGUACUGAAUUUGACGAAGCUUUCAGCACUUUCCAAUGACAUUCAGCUUCAGCUUUAUGGAUUGUACAAAGUUGCCACCGAAGGUCCAUGAGCACGCCACAUCCUUCUCCCAUAAAAAUGAACGCUCGUUCCAAAUGGUAUUCAUUCUUCUGAUAGUACCGAAGGAGUGUGUUAUGGACUUACCAAAAUCCUGAGAGAAAGUUUCUUAUUAUUUCCCAAAUCCACAUUCACAAAGCCUGCCAAUGACGACUUGUACAAUUCUCGGUUCAACGAGGAACUGUAUAAAAGUAUACACUAGUUCUUGAAAUCUGUUACUCUCAGCAUAAUCGUCAAACGCAGAUGGAGCAAUAGAUUAAGUGGAAUUCUGCAGGUUAGAGCUAUACCUUUCAAUUCGUGUUAAUUGUAGUUUGUUUUAAUUCUGCUCUGGAACUGUUAUAGUUACAACUUCAUAAUAUUUUGUUCAAAAUAGUGUAUAGCAGAAACAAUGGCAUUUUGUUUAAAUUCUGCUAAGCAAUAACUCCGUAGCACCGCAACUUAACAAUACUGCAUAGUCAUCAAGUGAAAACUGCAGACGGAACAAUUGAUUAGGUGGAAUUCUGCGGGUGAGAACUGAACUCUUCAAUAGUACCUAUAUUGGUUAGAUUUAAUUCAAUGGUUAAUAAUUUCUCUCUUCGGCACGAACCUUUUAUCAGGCACUUUCAGCUGACCAUAAAUUGAUACAAAUAUUAACACUGACUUUCAUAUGUGAUGGGUUAUUCUGUUACUUUCAAGUGUAAUCACUCCCGGAUUUACCUGCGGAAAUUUCCUGCGGAUUUACCUACGUAACUUUCCUGCGGAUCUUCCUGCCGAACAUAUUACCCACGAAGGUUUUAGCUGGGGAUCUAAAACCGCAGGAAAAACCGCAGGAAAUGUGUUUCCUGCGAAAAUUCAGCUCAAAUCCGCAGGUAAAUCCACAGAAAAAUUGAGUAUUUCUAGUAGUCUCCUCUCGGUUUUUCUUGGAUUUUUUGUUUGACUUCUUUUUCUUUCCAAAAUAUAUCUACAAUGUUCUUUGAGAUCAAAAAACCAAACGAUAAGAACAGUUUACUAAGAAAGAUUUGGAUAUGAAAAUUAAUUAAUUGUAAAUUAUAAAUAAAAGAGGGAGAGAAAUAUUUGGAUGUAAAUAUUAAUUAAUUAUAACAAAUAUAUAUAAUACAAUAAAAACAUAGACACGUUUGUGGCAGAGAGGGAGAGGUGCAGUUACCGUGCAUAGAUAAAAAUCUAUGCACCAUGCAUAGAUUAUUAUGGACCCUUGGAUCAUUGGAUCAAAUUCUAGACACUAAUUGUUAUUACUCAAUACUCACCACUCAAUACUCAAUACUCAAUACUGGAUUAAAAACAUGAUCCAAUGACUUAUAUAGGCUUAUGCAUGGUGCAUAAGUAAAAUCCUUAUGCAUAUUAGUCAAAGCCGAGAGAGAUAUAGACAGUUAGACAGCACAACAGAUGUCUUUUUUUGAAAUUUUCACUUUUUAAAAAAUGAUUAAUUAUGUUAAUUUCAAUGAUAAAAUGAGUCUCAUUUAUUAAAAUAACUUUAUUAAUAAUAAAUAGUGAAAUACUUAAAUAAAUUAAAAUACAAUAAAUAAGAAUAAAUUAGUGGAAAUAAAUAAUAAAUAUCACAUUAGUAUUCUAAACGGAUAAAUAAUUUGAGAAAAAUAAAAAUAAGAAAGAUGACACUUAUUGUGAGACUGAGAGAGUAAUACUUUGAAUUUAUUAAAAGCUAAAAUUUGGUAUCAAUUUGGAAUUAUGGAAUUAUUAGAAUUCUUUUAGAAAGUUAUUCACGAGGUGAAUCUUGAAUUUUGACUCACUCUUUUUACGAAUCACUAUCACUACAAUACUUUUUAUUUUAAUCAAUAAAAUAUUUGUAAAUAUUUAUAGUUAUUAGUUAUAUUUAUAAUUAUUAGACAUUGAAUUUAUCAUGUUGUUAAUUUGCUACAUAUUUAUUUUUAAAUAUUUGCAAUUAGAAGAUUUGAGUUCUCUAAAUUCAAGUUUUUCAAUUCCUCAUAUUAUUUGAAUAAAAUAUGAGAUGUUUGGAACAAUUUAUAGCCUAAAUUAUAUUACAAUAAAAUUUAUUAUUUUAUAUUUUAUAAUUGCAUUUAAAUAAAUUGUAUACCAAUUAAAAUUAAAAAUUAUUCAUCUAAGAAGUUUUUACGGGACACUAUCACCAUAAUACCUAUUUUAUUUUAAUCAACAAAAUAUUAUAAAUAUUUAUAAUUAGCCUAAAGUCACUAUUUUUACGGGACACUAUCACCACAAUACAUUUUUUUAUUUAAAUAACCAAAUAUUAUAAAUAUUUAUAAUUAUCAGUGAUGUUUGUAAUUAUUUAUAGUUAUUUUUCAUAUUUGUAAAUAUUUAUAUUUAUUAGACAUAUUAAAUUGAUCAUGUUGGUGAUUUGAUAAACAUUUCAAUUUGUUAGUGAUUUUAUAAUAACAAUUGUAUAUCACCAAUAACCUACCCUUAUCGAAUUGAGAAACGUUAAGUGUACACCAAAAAGUUACACCUACACCGUAUUUAUAUACGGUUAUACAUACUUUUAUUUUUUUUAAUAAUUUUUCUUUUGUAUUGGAUUUUGUGUAACACUAGAAAUGAGUUGAAAUACUUAUGGUGUAAGUACGGUGUAAAAGUUUCCAGUGUAAAUAUAGCAAUGCUCUAUCGAAUUACCUAAGAUACAAAUGACUAUUGCAUUUUCAUAUUCUUUUUUUACAUAGUCACUAUAUAUAGAUUCAUUUCAUCUAUAUUAUGUGCUGUUAAUAUUAAAUUAACAUUCCUCAUUCGAAUUUUUAAACUUCUUUUUUUACGUUUGUAAUACAUUAUUCAUCUUAAAAUUUGACUUACCCGUGCAGACGCACGGGUAUUCUACUAGUUUAUAAUUAUACUAUGAAAAAAAUCAUAUUGUUAAGACUUAAAUUUUAAAUCAACACUUUGCACUCAUUUAUAUUUAUAUUUUUAAAAAAAUAUAUAAACUUUAAUAAACAAAUAAUAAAAAAUAGAUAAAAAUA